rnacentral:rRNA from 1 species
CUUGCGCUCCUUGGUAUUCCGAGGAGCAUGCCUGUUUGAGUGUCAUUAAAUUCUCAACCUUUAUCAGCUUUUGUUGGUAAUUGGCUUGGAUAUGGGGGUUUAUUUUUGCCGGCUUCUUCACAGAUGGUCAGCUCCCCUUAAAUGCAUUAGCUGGUGCCCUGCGUGGACUGUUUAUUGGUGUGAUAAUUAUCUACGCCGUGGACGUCUGCAAUCAUAUGGGUUUGCACUGCUUCUAACCGUCUGUCCACUCAGACAAUACAUGACAAUUUGACCUCAAAUCAGGUAGGACUACCCGCUGAACUUAAGCAUAUCAAUAAGCGGAGGAAAAGAAACUAACAAGGAUUCCCCUAGUAACUGCGAGUGAAGCGGGAAAAGCUCAAAUUUAAAAUCUGGCGGUCUCCGGCUGUCCGAGUUGUAAUCUAGAGAAGUGUUAUCCGCGCUGGACCGUGUACAAGUCUCCUGGAAUGGAGCGUCAUAGAGGGUGAGAAUCCCGUCUUUGACACGGACUGCCAGGGCUUUGUGAUGCGCUCUCAAAGAGUCGAGUUGUUUGGGAAUGCAGCUCAAAAUGGGUGGUAAAUUCCAUCUAAAGCUAAAUAUUGGCGAGAGACCGAUAGCGAACAAGUACCGUGAGGGAAAGAUGAAAAGAACUUUGGAAAGAGAGUUAAACAGUACGUGAAAUUGCUGAAAGGGAAACGCUUGAAGUCAGUCGCGUUGGCCGGGGAUCAACCUUGCUUUUGCUGGGCGUACUUUCCGGUUGACGGGUCAGCAUCAAUUUUGACCGUUGGAUAAAGUCUAGGGGAAUGUAGCAUCUUCGGAUGUGUUAUAGCCCUUGGUCGCAUACAGCGAUUGGGAUUGAGGAACUCAGCACGCCGCAAGGC